rnacentral:tRNA from 1 species
GGGGGUAUGGCGAAGCUGGGAUCGCACUUGAAUGGCAUUCAAGGGGCCAGGGGUUCGAAUCCCCUUAUCUCCA